AGGGUAAGUCAUGCGGGUCCCAGCGAACAGAUAAGGAGCUUGCUCCUUUGACGUUAGCGGCGGACGGGUGAGUAACACGUGGGUAACCUACCUAUAAGACUGGGAUAACUUCGGGAAACCGGAGCUAAUACCGGAUAACAUUUGGAACCGCAUGGUUCUAAAGUGAAAGAUGGUUUUGCUAUCACUUAUAGAUGGACCCGCGCCGUAUUAGCUAGUUGGUAAGGUAACGGCUUACCAAGGCGACGAUACGUAGCCGACCUGAGAGGGUGAUCGGCCACACUGGAACUGAGACACGGUCCAGACUCCUACGGGAGGCAGCAGUAGGGAAUCUUCCGCAAUGGGCGAAAGCCUGACGGAGCAACGCCGCGUGAGUGAUGAAGGGUUUCGGCUCGUAAAACUCUGUUAUUAGGGAAGAACAAAUGUGUAAGUAACUGUGCACGUCUUGACGGUACCUAAUCAGAAAGCCACGGCUAACUACGUGCCAGCAGCCGCGGUAAUACGUAGGUGGCAAGCGUUAUCCGGAAUUAUUGGGCGUAAAGCGCGCGUAGGCGGUUUCUUAAGUCUGAUGUGAAAGCCCACGGCUCAACCGUGGAGGGUCAUUGGAAACUGGGAAACUUGAGUGCAGAAGAGGAAAGUGGAAUUCCAUGUGUAGCGGUGAAAUGCGCAGAGAUAUGGAGGAACACCAGUGGCGAAGGCGACUUUCUGGUCUGUAACUGACGCUGAUGUGCGAAAGCGUGGGGAUCAAACAGGAUUAGAUACCCUGGUAGUCCACGCCGUAAACGAUGAGUGCUAAGUGUUAGGGGGUUUCCGCCCCUUAGUGCUGCAGCUAACGCAUUAAGCACUCCGCCUGGGGAGUACGACCGCAAGGUUGAAACUCAAAGGAAUUGACGGGGACCCGCACAAGCGGUGGAGCAUGUGGUUUAAUUCGAAGCAACGCGAAGAACCUUACCAAAUCUUGACAUCCUUUGAAAACUCUAGAGAUAGAGCUUUCCCCUUCGGGGGACAAAGUGACAGGUGGUGCAUGGUUGUCGUCAGCUCGUGUCGUGAGAUGUUGGGUUAAGUCCCGCAACGAGCGCAACCCUUAAGCUUAGUUGCCAUCAUUAAGUUGGGCACUCUAGGUUGACUGCCGGUGACAAACCGGAGGAAGGUGGGGAUGACGUCAAAUCAUCAUGCCCCUUAUGAUUUGGGCUACACACGUGCUACAAUGGACAAUACAAAGGGCAGCUAAACCGCGAGGUCAUGCAAAUCCCAUAAAGUUGUUCUCAGUUCGGAUUGUAGUCUGCAACUCGACUACAUGAAGCUGGAAUCGCUAGUAAUCGUAGAUCAGCAUGCUACGGUGAAUACGUUCCCGGGUCUUGUACACACCGCCCGUCACACCACGAGAGUUUGUAACACCCGAAGCCGGUGGAGU
rnacentral:rRNA from 1 species